GAAGAUGUAGCUUAGUGGUAGAGUACUUGCCUAGAAUGUACAAAACCCUGGGUUCAGCCCCAGCAUCACUUCA
rnacentral:tRNA from 1 species